UUUAUGAUGAUGGUAGCUUAUUAGUGCCGACCAUUCUAAAAUCGCUACCAGACUGACAUGUGGGUCGUGUGCUCGGAUGGCCCAUGUGUCAGUGAUAGCCACUGCACGUGCAGUACUGCAUGGGUAUAGGAUCUUUGCCAAAAAUAUGGUACAAAAUGGAGUGCCAUGGUUAUCCAUUGUUCAGUUUGACAUAUUUACGGAUUAUAGGGUUGUAUUGA
rnacentral:lncRNA from 1 species